GACAGAGGUGCCGAGCGUUAGGCGGAAUCACUGGGCUUAAAGCGUGUGUAGGCGGAGUUCUAAGUACCUUGUGAAAUCCCACGGCUUAACCGUGGAACUGCUUGGUAUACUGGUUCUCUUGGGCCAUCUAGGGCUACUGGAACAAACGGUGGAGCGGUGAAAUGCGUAGAUAUCGUUUGGAACGCCAAUGGUGAAAACAAGUAGCUGGGGAUGUGCCGACGGCUGAGACACGAAAGCCAGGGAGCAAACGGG
rnacentral:rRNA from 1 species